rnacentral:rRNA from 1 species
AGCGAACGCUGGCGGCAGGCCUAACACAUGCAAGUCGAACGAACCCUUCGGGGUUAGUGGCGGACGGGUGAGUAACACGUGGGAACGUGCCUUUAGGUUCGGAAUAACUCAGGGAAACUUGUGCUAAUACCGAAUGUGCCCUUCGGGGGAAAGAUUUAUCGCCUUUAGAGCGGCCCGCGUCUGAUUAGCUAGUCGGUGAGGUAAUGGCUCACCAAGGCUACGAUCAGUAGCUGGUCUGAGAGGAUGACCAGACACAUUGGGACUGAGACACGGCCCAAACUCCUACGGGAGGCAGCAGUGGGGAAUCUUGCGCAAUGGGCGAAAGCCUGACGCAGCCAUGCCGCGUGGAUGAUGAAGGUCUUAGGAUUGUAAAAUCCUUUCACCGGUGAAGAUAAUGACUGUAGCCGGAGAAGAAGCCCCGGCUAACUUCGUGCCAGCAGCCGCGGUAAAAC